rnacentral:rRNA from 1 species
AGUGAACGCUGGCGGUAGGCCUAACACAUGCAAGUCGAACGGCAGCACAGUAAGAGCUUGCUCUUACGGGUGGCGAGUGGCGGACGGGUGAGGUAUACAUCGGAAUCUACUUUUUCGUGGGGGAUCACGUAGGGAAACUUACGCUAAUACCGCAUACGACCUACCGUUGAAAGCAGUGGAUCUUCGCACCUUGCGCGAUUGAAUGAGCCGCUGUCGGAGUUGCUAGUUGGCGGGGUAAAGGCCCACCAAGGCGACGAUCCGUAGCUGGUCUGAGAGGAUGAUCAGCGACACUGGAACUGAGCCACGGUCAAGACUCCUACGGGAGGCAGCAGUGGGGAAUAUUGGACAAUGGGCGCAAGCAUGAUCCAGCCAGACCGCGUGGGUGAAGAAGGCCUUCGGGUUGGAAAGCCGUUUUGUGGGGAAAGAAAAGCAGCAGGUUAAUACCCCGCUGUUCUGACGGUACCCAAAGAAUAAGCACCGGCUAACUUCGUG